UGUUGCCCUCCGUGCCGACCAUAGUUGGAUAUUUGAGGUUAGUAGGUUCUCCAACAUUGCCCUAAUCUCUCUCUUGAUUUUAGUUUUUUGUCUAUUGUUCCCUUGUUGAUCCCCAGAGGCGUUGCCCUCUGUGCAAACUGUAGUUGGAUAUUUGAGGUUAGUAGGUUCUCUAAAUCUCGCCUUAGAUUUGCUUAAUCCUAUAUUUUGUUUAAUCCUUAUUCGUAUGAGGAGAGGGAUUCUCGUUUUCUGUUAACCUUCAGUUUACAAAAUCAAUUUUGGGUGCUAUUAAUAUUUUUUGUAAAUCUAUCCCAUAAUGGAAAUAGUUCUUAUUUAUUGUAGUGUUUUUUAUGCUGAGAUACAUAGGUGACUUGUAAAUUUUUGGUGCUUGGCUUUUUUAUUUUUUACAUUGACAGAUUUUUCCAACAUAAUUUUGGGAAUGGAAUGUUUCGAAAUUAAUAUUUGUUUUUUUUUUUUUGAACCAAAUUAUGGGAAUGAAAUGUUUUGAAAUUAUUCACUAUCCCUACAUAAUUUUUGGAUAGUAGUAUUCAUCUAUACCUUGUUUUAUUAGUGAUACUCACUAGUGGCCCCCGUUUUCUAUAUCAAGAUAAACAAGCUUAGUUGUUAUCUACCUUUUAUGAGUGGUUAUGAAUUGUUCUCCUCAUGACAUAAAUUGAAACCAUUCAUGCGCUUGAAUACAGUGAGUAUCUAAAUGCAAUUCUAUAAUGGCACCAAGAAAUACAAUGUGCCAAUAUUCUUUAAAAAAAAAAAUUAUUGACCAUGUUACGUUUCAGCUUUGUAAACCAGGGUCAUGGGAUCAAAUUCAAUAAACAUUGACUCACACUUACCUCAAUAUGAGCAUAAACAUGUGUUUUGUGUGAAGGAAUGGAUAGCUUAUAUGACUCAUCAACACCAAUUUGUAAUUGUACAACACACAAAAUUUCAUUGGCAGAAUUUACAUUUCUUCGUUAAAAUAAACAAAAUAGUGCAAACUGAAACGAACUUCGAACAACUUUUAGACACUUUCAUGUGAAUAUGAAAAUAAAGUUCUAAUGAAAAAGGAAAUCAUACACUACUAUUUUCCUUAAGGAAAAUAUUUUUGUUCCAAACCUUCGACUCAAGGUUUGAUUUCCACAUUAGAAAAAUUCUCAUCAAAUAGAAUGCACAAAACAUUACUAUAGUUCCCAUACCAAGUCAAUUUUUAAAUUUUUGUAAGCAUAAAUUGAAAAUAUAUGAACAGUAAAACUCUUAUGCAUUACAAGAACUAAAAAAUGAAUCUCUUAUCUUCAUUCAGAAAGAAAAAGUACUUAUUCAAAAGUUAUUUUCAAAUUAUGAUUUAACUUCAAUAAAUAAAAGGGUUUGCUUGAACAAUGUCAAGUGUACUGAUUGGACUUGGUUUUCUUAAUCAAGACUAUGAAUCAAUGUUAAGUUUGCUUUAAUGAUAGUAAGUUUUUGAUUAUGUUAGUAGCUCUGAGUCAUAUGUGCAUGAGCAUAAGUGCAAAUGAUUCUAUGAACAAGUUGUGGAACCUCAAAUUAGUUCAUCAAUGUAAGGUUGAAGACCUAAUAGGCUACUUCAUUCAUAGGAACCUGAAUUGGUUUAUGAAGAUUAUGGAGUAUAAGAUCACAUAUGUUAUUGAGGAAGCUGGGAUUUAGGGCUUGAUAGUUAAAAGUUAUAGUAGAAGUGAUAUUUUGAUGCCUAGGUUAAAUGUUUCAACAACUACUAUGUCUCAUAUAUUUGUUAUUUUCUUUGCUUCAGUGCAUUAUUUUGAUUUUAGAGAAUGUUUUAUAUUUUUUCAUGCUUGUCUUUAUGAAAAAAAAAAAACCAUUGAAAAUUUACCAAUGCUAAGUCAUGCUAGGGUGAGCAUCUCUUAGGGUCAGACAACGCACCCACUACACUUUGGCCCAUGUAGUUGCAAUUGUCAAUAUAACAGAAAGAACACAAAAUACACAAAAAGUAACCAAAUAUGUUUGUGUUAUUACCUAUUAUUAGAUCAAUUGAUUGUGAAUGGAUUGAGUAAUUAAUAGUUACAAGUUAUUCAUCAUGAAAAAUAUGAACCAAAUUUCUAUCAAGUGUACAAACCCGACCUAGGAAACAAGUCAGCAACUAAAAAGCUAGGCAUUGAACUACAACAAGUGUUUAUCUACCAAUUAUAAUUGUUCUGCUAUACAAAUCUUGUUUAUCCAUCAAACUAGAUUGAGGGUUAUUUCCUCUCUAAAUUUAGAGUCAUAUGGUCUUCUUCCCUCUUGUCCUGAAUAGAUGGUUGCGUCUAGGUUUCAACUAACAUAUUCAUUUUCUAGUCAUUUAUCCAUCUUAACAUCUCCAUUUUAGCGUGCUUAUUUUAUGUGGGCAGACACCAUUACUAUAGUGCCUGUAUCUAGCAAAAUCACCCUUUAAUGUUAACCUAACAACCUAAAACCACUUCCCCACAACAACUAUCAUGCUUUAAUCUUGUAGUUAAUGUUCACUUCAUUAUCCAUAUAUAAAUGAUCAAUUGAAAGAGAACCAAAUAGUCACUUGGCCAUCAAUUCUUACAAUUCCCCCACCUCUACUCUUGUAAAAAUUUAGAAAUUCUAUUCUAGGCUUAUUGGUUUUUUUAUGGAAAGGCAAACAAAAAAAAAUAAAUUAUGCCACUCAAAGAACACCACAAGUACGUGGGACAAUUGUACUCUAGUUAGUGAAGUUAUAUUUUAUAAAAUUUAAUUUCUGUUUAAUUUAAAAUCCUUAGAUUGGAAGGCUCCUUUUCAUAGUUAUAACUUAAAUAAAAUCCAAAUGAUUUACACGUCACGUAGGAAAAAAGAUAAGGGUCUUAUGUGAGACUUAAGAUAAACAUGAUUUGGAAGUGAUUUACCUAUUUCUCUUUCAAUACUCAUGCUUUUCAAUGUAUCAGUUCUUUAUCACAUUAAUACAUCUUGUGUCCAUGCUCUCAUUCAAAACUUGAACUUCUUUUCCUUCCAUCAUCAAAUCAUUUUGAAUCCUUGUCGAUGAAAUGGGAUGGAUGGAAGUGAUAGAAGCAUUUGAAAUGAGCUCUCACUAACAUCAAAUUCCUUGCUUUAGAUAAAAUUCCCUUCCUCUAAGAGGUUGUAUGUCUCUUAACAUUUUUUAUCACUACUACGAUCAAUGCAAAGAAGUUUGAGUAGUUGUUGCUUUGGGAUGUGGAGGUAGGGGGUAUAAAACCUAGCAAACUUGCUUGGUUGUGGGAAGGGGUCAUUCCAACUGCUUUGUUCAAAUUCCUCUUAGGUGAAAGCAACAUGAAAUGUAGAAGUGGGGAGGUUAGCAGUUUAGAAAAACAUGCUGAGUGAACUCAUGACUUCCUAACGACUAAGACUCCAAUAGCAUUUUAAGCUAUCGAAUUGCCCCAAAUCAGCUUGAUGUGCAUUAUUGCCCCAUCAUUACCUUACAUCUAAACUUUUGAAUCAACUUUGUAACUUAACUUUGUAUCAAGGGCCAAGUUGUUAGGAAGUCAUAAGUUCAAACCUCAUCGUAUUGUUUAUUUCUCCAAUUUAUUGAAGCUACGUGCAAUUCCAAAAGAAAGUAAAGGCAUACAUUUUUCUUGACUUUCAUAAUUUAUGCUUGAUAUGAAUAAAUGUUGAUUACUUAGGGUAUAUUUGGAUAUAUUUAUUGGCUAUUUUUUGUGUUUAAAAUCAUAAAUCAAAGGAUAGUAGGAAUUUUUGUAAAAUAUGCAAGAACUCUUUAAGGUUGAUAUAUAAAAUUGUGGAAAAAAAUUAAGGUAUUAUAAAACUUUAAAUAGUUUAAAAUUUAAAUAUUAAAAAUUAAAGUUCAAUUUUUUAAUAUAAAAAUAGUUUUUUUUUAUUAUAAAUUUUUUUGUGUAGUAUUUAUUAAUUUUUAGAGAGAGGGCGUGAGAAAUGUAUUUAUAUCAAUUUACAUGAUGUGUUUUAAGGAAUGUACAUUAUGACGCAUUAGGAAUGUUAUGUUACUUGGGGCUAUAAAUUAUGCGUUUUAAGAAAAUUGUCUUAGUCGAUGAAUUGGUAUUUCAAUAUGAAUUAUACAGUUAUCUUAUUUUAUUUUAUUUUCUAUUGAGAACAGUAGAAGACCAAAAAGAGUUAUACAUCCAAAUGACUUAAGAGAAAUGUACAUGAUAAUCAAUGAACAUAACUCAAACUCAACAUCUUUUUAACGGGUUUGGGUUAAGUAUAAAUGAGUUUGAGUUAAAUUCUUAUCAAGUUUGCAUAACUUGUUUAAUUAAUAGGUAGUUUUAUUGGUCAAUCGACAUAAAAUAAAUGUUAAUAAUGUGAGUUUGUGGCUAGGUAAAGAUGGGGGUCAAGUGUUUACAGAAUUACAGAGUAAUUGGGAAUGUCCAACCCAAUAUCUUCAAUGGUCCAUCUACCAACUAAAAUUGGUGAUGGCAGAGGUGAGACUCCUCAUGGUAAGGUGCAUGUGGUGAUUGGGAUGAUACCCCCACGUGAAUAUACAAAACUCCAUCCUCAUGCACUACACUCUACAACCCACUCCCUUCCCCAAAUACCGAAUAAAUACCACAAUAAUCAUAAUAAGUUUUAUAUUUCCAAAUGAUGUACAAUUUGAUUACCUUCACUAUUAAAAUUUAAGCCUAGGAAAAUCUGGUAAAGUAACAAGUAACAACUAAUAAUUUGUUAGGUUUGUCCCUCCAAAGAAGUUUCAAUUGUUGCAAUAAUAAAUAUUUGAAACUAAGGUUGUCGUAUGGCUCGCUGCACACAAGAAGGAGGUGUCACAUUAUGAAUUGAGGACGUUCAAUUUCUUGACGCCAUAAGUACCACCCCAACCUAAUGAGUGAGUGUUUAUCUUGCAAACUAGGUAUAUGUUGAAAUGGAUUGCUCCAUAUUUUAAGUUCCUUUGUUACUUAUAAUUCCACAAUUAGUAACGUCUUUGUCAUAAUAUUGUAUUAGGCAUGAUUGUGGAGUGUUUAUUAUGAAAUUCAUGGAGUCGUGGUCAAUGGGGGAGUUGUCCAAAUCAAUCGAUGUUAUGUAGAAGGAACUAUGUAUUAUCAUCUCAUUAAUGCAAAAAAAUAGUAUAAAAGGCGAAAUUCAUUAUUUUGCUGAUUUUUUCAGUUAAACUUGAAUGAAUGUAGGGAAUGUUGAAACAGUAUAGACUGAAGAUUAUGAGUAGUUUGUUGUUUUCAAAACAAAAUGCACAUUGACAUCGUUUCAUGAGGGAUUAAUGGGGACUGUAUAUUUUGAUGACACAAUAUAAAUUCAAUUUGGUUAUAAUUUAUGUUGGACAAACGAAGUAGUGUAAAUUUUGUCUUAUGAUGAUAGUUGCAUAAUUGAAUAAUGGCACUAUAGGAUAAGUAAGAAGUUGGACUGCUUUUGGAGACAAUGACAACAAUAAUUAAAUUGAUUGUGUAACUGAACAAUGGCACUAUGGAAGAACAUGUCAUGAAGUGCUAUGACAAAUAUAGGGGGUUGGAAAGAAAUUGCACACAUUAAUUAUGAUGAAAGUGAUAGUUACAACAUCUUAUGUAAUAAGAAAGUUUUUGAGUUAAAUUGAUUGUAAUUAUAUUCGAUUUGUACAUGGACAAUUAAAACCUUUGUUUCUGAUUGUAAAUGUAUAUUCAUUAUUACAGGAACUAAUUCAAUUGGAAUUAUACAUAGAUUUUACUUGGUUUAUUGUAGAUUCCAUAAUAGGGUACAUUAGGUGUUUGGACUAUAAUAUAAUAUGUUUUAUUAUUUAUUAUUAGACCCAUGUUUUUUCAUUGUAUUGCAUUUGUAUUUUUGAUUUAUUAAAGUUUUAUUUCGUAUUGUACAUCAACUUUUGGAGGCCAUUGCAAUGUGAUUGGUAAUUGUAAGAGUAAAAUGAGGUGUUAUGGUGGUAGCAUAUUAGGUACAUUGUGCUAAAGUGUAUAAGCAAUAGGAAGGAAGGAGGACUUCAAUUGCAGAAGUGCUUGUUUUUGGUGAUUAGGAUAGAAGAGACAAGGCAAGUAGAAAAAGAGGAAGAAGAAGGUGAAGAUGUAGAACUGAAGUAGUGGGCUUGGCUUCGCCAUUGUUGAGUUCACUUCUUUCCUUGUCCAGUGAAAUAGUAUUAACUAUUGGGGGGAAUAUGCUUAAUGAAAUCAUAGAUGUUAGGCUCUCAAAUGUCAAUUGCUUGGCAUCUUCUUAGGAUUUUAAUUUUCCUUCUACUCAAUUGGAAAAUCCUAUAAUAAGGUCGACUUAAGCAUAUGGUCUCAUCCAAUAAUGUCAAAGCUUUCCCUUUCCUUUAAAAUUGACUGCACAAUAACACUUUUAUCAGACAUACGUAUUUAUAUUUAAAACUUUCAUAUAGGUCUUGUACUUUUCCAUCUGUAGUGCGGAUAAACCCUCAUGCCAAUAUUAUGACUAGGCCCUCCAACGAAUCUUCAAACUAUAUAAAUGGUAUAAUCUUAACUUUAACACCAUAUGUUGGUUCAAAGCACUAUGUAAAAAACCUUCUUUCCAAACGUAUAUCAACCAUAUUGUCUAGGUAUGUUUGAAGGCAUAAAUUUUAUAUUUAAUUUUUUCAAUUAAGCAUAUUAUUAAUGUUUUAGGCAAAUAUGAAAGAAAAGCCUCAUGCAUAGAUUUUUUAUUUGGUUGCAUCAGUAUAAACAAAUACAUGAAAAAUGAAGGCAAGAUCUACAUUGUUUUUGUUGGAAGAAGGUCGAGUGUAUACACAAUUUGGCCUGAAUGUCAAGCUCAAGUAAUUGGUUACAAGGGUUGCAUUUAUAAAAUCGUACAGAACUCAUCAUGAGGCUGUAUCAGCAUGGGUGAUGUGUGAGCCUUGAUGGAAAAAACCUGAUGCACCUAUUGCAUCCUUAGAGCCUGCAAAGGGUGGCCAACUGGUAGAUGACCAAGUAUUAAAGAAGAUUGAAGAUUGGAAACAAAAUUUCCUUGCUCCUGUUGUUCUCAAAUGUGUUGUAACAUUCACGAUCAUGUUUGUCAUUCAAAAGUUCUUUUAGGUAUGCUUUAAUGUGGUGUGACUAAGCUACAUGUUGUAUUUGUAUUACGUGUCUUUAAUGCAAUGGUACUCUGACUUUUCAUCCUUCAUUAUUUAUUUUAGUUUUAAAACAAUACUAAAGCAACAUGAAACAAAAUAAGAAAUUACAAAUUUUGGAUGAUUAAAUUUAAGAGGGAAAAAAGGGACAUGAGUGAGCAAGUUCUUCAAAAUUCUUUAAAAUCCUUAAAAAUGGGCUACCUUGCACACCCUUAUAUAGUUAGCACAUGUACCUUGUACACUUAGUGUGAAUGCCUUGUACACUUGCACAUUUACAUACACCUAUAAUGCAAUGUGUGCAUAUGGGUGAGUUAACUAUGUUUCCAUUGUCAUGGCUUAGGAAAAGAAGUAAAAAAAAUGAAAUCAAACCUAACCAUGUAUCCUUCAUCAUCAUUUAUGAAUACGAGGUGAUGGAAUGAACAUGUAUGAGGUCAAAUAAAUGCAUGGGUUGCACGUGAUCAACACAUAAGUGUGAGGAAUGUCUCUCAUCUCAUGUUUGGAAAAGGGAAAUGAGCGAGUUAGCUCCUCAAAAUCAUUUGAAAUCCUUCGAGAUUGGUACCCUUGUACACCCUCGUAUAAUUACCAUAUUUGCCUUGUACACUUAGUGUAAAGGCCUUGUACUAUGGUAGAAAUUCAAUGCAUCUACAACACAUGAAUCCAUAUGGGUAGGGGAACCAUGUUCCAAUGUCAUGACUGAACAAAUUUUGAACAAAUUUGAUGCCAGAUUAUAGUUCUAUUAAUCAUUAUUGUGGUAAGUAACAUGAACAUGUACGAACUCACAAAAAUGAAUGGGAUAAGUGUGUGAUCAAGUAAUGUGUGUGACGAAUGUCCCUCAUCAUUGGAAAAUGGAAAUGAGCAAGUGAGUUUUUCAUAUACCUUUCAAAUUGUUAUGGAUAGCUACCUUGUACACCCUUGUAUAGUUGAAUAGCAAAAAAAUGUGCUUUUUUAUAAGGAGAGUGUUUACAAAGCAUAUAAUUCUAGAGAGGAAGUUGUCUGAGUCUGGUGUUCUAUGAACCAAGAUGGAGGAGAAGUGAUGAAUCUUUAACUACUGGCAAACCAAAGACUUAACAUAUGGUUAGCAAUCACUGUUCCAUCCAAAAUAUUUCAUAUCCAUAUGUAAUCAACUUCAUUGUUGGCUUCUUUGUAGCAUGUGUUUUCCUUAUUGUAAUAUCUAAUUUCACAUAGGUUGUUCAUAAUUGUCAUGAGUAAGAAUGUCCAGUAAUGUGGUUUUGAUAGUAUUCAUAGGUACUAUGUAAUUAUUAUUAUCAACUUUGUAGUUCACAAAUUCAAUUUAAUGUUAAAAAGACAAUGCACUAUUUUGUAUCAGUAGUUUGUGUAGGAAGGUAUUGUUUUUAUUUCUAAUUUUUCAUGUUGGUAUACAUAAAGUUGUGAACAUUGUUCCAAAACACAGUACUCGUGUGCUGUGAAUUUUUUGGACACUUCUUAUUGAAAAGACUACUCACUAUUUGUAUGAGGUAUCAUUGCAAGAAUUUAUUAUAUGUAUUGCAUUUCUAUAGUUUUUGUCUACGUAAAGUGGGGACCCUCAAAGCAUAACACAAUCAUAUGCAGUUCAUUUUUCCACACUAAUUCUUGAAAAGACUAAUCACUUUUUCAUUGCACUCUUUAUUGUAGGAAGUUAUUUUGUUUAUUGCAAUUCUGCCGUGAUGGCCUACAUAAAGUGGCA
rnacentral:lncRNA from 1 species